GAAUCGUUCUCUACCUGGUGGAUUGUAAGCUUGCCUGGACUGUCACCAUCUUCGACCUGUAUAGAUAACUUACCUUUCUUUUGUUUGUCUUUCGACAAAAGGCUUGCAAAUUCUAUAUACUGGUUUGACCAAAUUUUUGAUUUAGUUUGAUCCGAUACCCUUGCAUCGAUUGGUACUGCUGUACUAACAAAACCUGUCGGACACUUACCAGCGAUUUUCUCAGUGUGAUCCACAACUACCGCUUCAACUGAGUGUUGAAUAGCGUUGUCCAGAUGUCUAGAUUCUCUUACCAACCCGUCAUUAUCAUUGUUGUUAGAUGCCCCUAGAGGAUUUAUACUAAUACUCCCCUGAGAAUUUGAAGCACUGUUGCUGUUAAUGUUGUUUAUCAGCGUUGUCAACUCGUCUCUAAUUGUGGCCGUCACCCGCUGGGUCACCUGUGCUGUGAUGGUUUCCAGUACAUCGGGGGAUAAAGCUGGCGAAACGGAUAAAGCUGGCGAAACCACUUCCAAGUUCAUUGAUGUCCUGCGUUUCUUUUGUUUUGAGACUGUUGAUGGUUUUGCGCGAGCUUGGCUUGUUCUUUUUGGUGGCAUACUUAUUCUUGAUGACGAUAACUAAAAUUACAAAUUCACUGAUAUUGGUUAGUAAACAAUUGUCAACAUCCGGUCUGAAUAGAUCGGAAAAUAUAUGAUAAAACAUAAAAAUUCCGGAAUACUU
rnacentral:sRNA from 1 species